rnacentral:rRNA from 1 species
UGUUCUAACGUGGACCCGUAAUCCGGGUUGCGGACAGUGUCUGGUGGGUAGUUUGACUGGGGCGGUCUCCUCCUAAAGAGUAACGGAGGAGCACGAAGGUUGGCUAAUCCUGGUCGGACAUCAGGAGGUUAGUGCAAUGGCAUAAGCCAGCUUGACUGCGAGCGUGACGGCGCGAGCAGGUGCGAAAGCAGGUCAUAGUGAUCCGGUGGUUCUGAAUGGAAGGGCCAUCGCUCAACGGAUAAAAGGUACUCCGGGGAUAACAGGCUGAUACCGCCCAAGAGUUCAUAUCGACGGCGGUGUUUGGCACCUCGAUGUCGGCUCAUCACAUCCUGGGGCUGAAGUAGGUCCCAAGGGUAUGGCUGUUCGCCAUUUAAAGUGGUACGCGAGCUGGGUUUAGAACGUCGUGAGACAGUUCGGUCCCUAUCUGCCGUGGGCGCUGGAGAACUGAGGGGGGCUGCUCCUAGUACGAGAGGACCGGAGUGGACGCAUCACUGGUGUUCGGGUUGUCAUGCCAAUGGCACUGCCCGGUAGCUAAAUGCGGAAGAGAUAAGUGCUGAAAGCAUCUAAGCACGAAACUUGCCCCGAGAUGAGUUCUCCCUGAGACUUUAGGUCUCCUGAAGGAACGUUGAAGACGACGACGUUGAUAGGCCGGGUGUGUAAGCGCAGCGAUGCGUUGAGCUAACCGGUACUAAUGAACCGUGAGGCUUAACCUU